rnacentral:tRNA from 1 species
GGUAAAAUGGCUGAGUAAGCAUUAGACUGUAAAUCUAAAGACAGAGGGAGAUCCUCUUUUUGCC